rnacentral:rRNA from 1 species
GCUUAGACAUGCAAGUCGAGCGGGGAARGGUAGCUUGCUACUUGACCUAGCGGCGGACGGGUGAGUAAUGCUUAGGAAUCUGCCUAUUAGUGGGGGACAACAUCUCGAAAGGGAUGCUAAUACCGCAUACGUCCUACGGGAGAAAGCAGGGGACCUUCGGGCCUUGCGCUAAUAGAUGAGCCUAAGUCGGAUUAGCUAGUUGGUGGGGUAAAGGCCUACCAAGGCGACGAUCUGUAGCGGGUCUGAGAGGAUGAUCCGCCACACUGGGACUGAGACACGGCCCAGACUCCUACGGGAGGCAGCAGUGGGGAAUAUUGGACAAUGGGGGGAACCCUGAUCCAGCCAUGCCGCGUGUGUGAAGAAGGCCUUUUGGUUGUAAAGCACUUUAAGCGAGGAGGAGGCUACCGAGAUUAAUACUCUUGGAUAGUGGACGUUACUCGCAGAAUAAGCACCGGCUAACUCUGUGCCAGCAGCCGCGGUAAUACAGAGGGUGCAAGCGUUAAUCGGAUUUACUGGGCGUAAAGCGCGCGUAGGUGGCCAAUUAAGUCAAAUGUGAAAUCCCCGAGCUUAACUUGGGAAUUGCAUUCGAUACUGGUUGGCUAGAGUAUGGGAGAGGAUGGUAGAAUUCCAGGUGUAGCGGUGAAAUGCGUAGAGAUCUGGAGGAAUACCGAUGGCGAAGGCAGCCAUCUGGCCUAAUACUGACACUGAGGUGCGAAAGCAUGGGGAGCAAACAGGAUUAGAUACCCUGGUAGUCCAUGCCGUAAACGAUGUCUACUAGCCGUUGGGGCCUUUGAGGCUUUAGUGGCGCAGCUAACGCGAUAAGUAGACCGCCUGGGGAGUAC